CGCUGCAUACACGAGCGCGCGUUUUACUUUUCGAAGCCGGCGAGGAGGCUUGCGAAUAAUCCUCGAUAUGCGUGUGCGCGUACAUAGAGGCAAUAUAUGUGUGACACUACAGGGUUUCGACGUAUCUUUUGAACUUAUGAACAAAUUUUAAUGAGAUAAUGCUCUAUAAAUUAAAAAUUCAUUUUUUUAAUAAAUUCAAAUUUCAUCAUAAAGAGAAAGCAGGUUGAACGAUUUGAAAGGAAACACUAGAGACACGGAAACUUGUGGAAUUAACAUAGUUAGAAAUGGCGAUCGUGAAUCAAGGAAACGAGUAUAGUGUUGAAUUCCUCCUCUUUUUUUUAUGCCUUUAUGGUACGGUUUCGUAUCGACCAAUACACAUGGGAACGUUUCAAUCUCGUUACAUCGUGUCACAUAAAAAACCUUUCAGUGUCGAGUACUGUGUACCGUUGAAAGUUUUCGCGAGUUUCUCUAUCGGUUCGUUUUAACUAUUUGCGAUGUAACUGUACGUAGAGUAUACAUGUUUAAUUUCACAUAUAUAUUUCUAAUUAGCAAUAAUUCAAAAUAUGUAUAUUAACAUACCAAUGAUAAACAAAUAUAUUCUACGUAUAUUCAAGUUAUUCGUAAAAUUCGUAAGAGUCGUUUAUAUUUCUAGAUUUUUCGACCAAGAACAGAGAACGUUCUAAAAAUGUUUCUUCGAAAUGUAUCGCGUGUUCUUGCGGUCAGUAAAUAUGGUGCUCGGGUGACAGUAUACACUACGUUCACCACAGUUCGUUUUUCACGAAUGUAACUUUUGUCGUGUGUACCUUUGCUUCGAGGGAUCACAGGGUAUGAAACAGCUCUGUGCUUCACAAGGUGUAAAUAUUUACGUCUCUGGCCCUUGGGUAUAUUACAUCGAAAUUCUAGAGAAAACGGUCGUCGUUCUUUUUGCGUCGCAAGUUGAACCUGUGCGACAAUUUGUGUAUUUUUGCAACGUGAGCUUUUUACGCAGUUCGUAUCUUAAUAUCGCGACAUAAAUUUCGAUGAUAUGUCAAGUAAUAUUCAUUUGUGACGUAAUCUAUCGUUUUCGAAUCAUUUUGUUCAUUUUUGAAAAAGAAUUCAACCAUUUUUUCAUUUUAACCAAGAUUGACAGAUGCCGAUGAUAUGUAUAUAUAAGGGAUUUUCGAUGGACGUUUCUUCUCGACGGGGUUUCCUGAUCAGCGCCCAGAUUCCCAAAGGGAUCCUCGCGUUUGCUUAAGCCGCUUUCUGGAUUAGCGGAGGCAGUCGUUGUCCGGCUGCUGACUAGCCAGACUUUGCACCACGAAACCGAACGCAAGAACAAUCGGAAAGUCAAACAGUUUGACUCGCCUCGAGCAUGCUAGAGACGCUCCAAUAUUUGGAUUCGUAAUGUAAUUCGCAAGUCGAAAGUGCUGAAACCUCUCGUUUUCCUUCUAUUUAUAUUCGCCUUUUCCCUGGAAAACGAGACACGAGAUGAAAAUCAAAAAUCAGAUUUCUAGACGCGGUGGAAUUUCGAUUGCAAAAGAUUUACGAUGUAAAUUAUAUAUAGGUUAGAUCUCAAUUAAAUAUUCAUUCGAUCCUUUGUAAACAUUCUCUGUAACUAAUAACAAAUUUAUUAUCUAUUUCGAAACGAUUCCGUUUGUCGAAAUCCGAGGUAUAUCGAUAUUCGUGAAUUGAACAAAAAUUUCUGACGCGAUAUUCUCAGAAGAGGAUUUCUUUCGACGAGAGUAGGGAAUUCAGUGGAAAUUCAGUUUAUUUUAAUUCUCUUUUGGUCGGCAUACGAGUUUUAAUCGGGAUUCGGACACGAUUUUCGAAGAAUUAUCUAAUUUUUACCGUGCAAGAUCAAAGGUAAAAGUUUAUCGCAUCUCUCGUUUUCCAGCCUUGAUUCGAAUGCGCCGCAAGAAGGAUGGUUAUCUGCGUCAUAGAUCGAUGUUUGCGUUUCGCUUUCUCGGAUUUGGCGAAACAACUGUUCAUCAAAUGCCACUAUGCCACGAUUUGUUUGCGGAGAGAUCAUCGUUUAUUCGCAUUCUUUCAAAUCGAUUAGCAAUCUUUGUUGUGCCAGCAGAUAUUGCGCAAACAUCGCUUGUAUCGAUCCGACCGAGACAAUCUGCACGAGAUGUUUAAAUGAAAAUUCCGACUAUUUUCUUUCAUCUUGUGACAAUCUUUCAAAUAAGCUUCUCAAUAAAAAUCAAACGAGAAACGAUA